AACCCAAUGUGAACGUUACCAAACUGUUGCCUCGGCGGGAUCUCUGCCCCGGGUGCGUCGCAGCCCCGGACCAAGGCGCCCGCCGGAGGACCAACCAAAACUCUUAUUGUAUACCCCCUCGCGGGUUUUUUUUUAUAAUCUGAGCCUUCUCGGCGCCUCUCGUAGGCGUUUCGAAAAUGAAUCAAAACUUUCAACAACGGAUCUCUUGGUUCUGGCAUCGAUGAAGAACGCAGCGAAAUGCGAUAAGUAAUGUGAAUUGCAGAAUUCAGUGAAUCAUCGAAUCUUUGAACGCACAUUGCGCCCGCCAGUAUUCUGGCGGGCAUGCCUGUCCGAGCGUCAUUUCAACCCUCGAACCCCUCCGGGGGGUCGGCGUUGGGGAUCGGCCCUGCCUUGGCGGUGGCCGUCUCCGAAAUACAGUGGCGGUCUCGCCGCAGCCUCUCCUGCGCAGUAGUUUGCACACUCGCAUCGGGAGCGCGGCGCGUCCACAGCCGUUAAACACCCAACUUCUGAAAUGUUGACCUCGGAUCAGGUAGGAAUACCCGCUGAACUUAAGCAU
rnacentral:rRNA from 1 species